rnacentral:rRNA from 1 species
AUGGACGCUCACAACCUGUUUGUUGAAAUGCCCAUGGAGGAAAAGAGGGAAGAAAUAAAAAGAAAAGGUAAAAAAAUAAACACACGAGUCAUUGACAGGUGGGACCCUUGUCCAACUCAUCAUAUUGUCCACCUAAGCAUGCCACGUCAGCAUGACAUGUGGGCCCAACUUGUCAGUUUCACUGUUUUCGCAAUGUUAUUAGACUAUCAAUGUUCCGCGUUACGCAUUAGGCGCAAUUUCGGUGGUUUUCUGUGCCCUGACUUAAAUCUGGUACCAAGUUGUUACCCUAGCCCCAAGUGUGGUGGUUUUGGGUAA